rnacentral:rRNA from 1 species
CGAGUGGCGAACGGGUGAGUAAUACAUCGGAACGUGCCCAAUCGUGGGGGAUAACGCAGCGAAAGCUGUGCUAAUACCGCAUAAGAUCUACGGAUGAAAGCAGGGGAUCGCAAGACCUUGCGCGAAUGGAGCGGCCGAUGGCAGAUUAGGUAGUUGGUGAGGUAAAGGCUCACCAAGCCUUCGAUCUGUAGCUGGUCUGAGAGGACGACCAGCCACACUGGGACUGAGACACGGCCCAGACUCCUACGGGAGGCAGCAGUGGGGAAUUUUGGACAAUGGGCGCAAGCCUGAUCCAGCCAUGCCGCGUGCAGGAUGAAGGCCUUCGGGUUGUAAACUGCUUUUGUACGGAACGAAAAGUCUCUUUCUAAUAAAGAGGGAUCAUGACGGUACCGUAAGAAUAAGCACCGGCUAACUACGUGCCAGCAGCCGCGGUAAUACGUAGGGUGCAAGCGUUAAUCGGAAUUACUGGGCGUAAAGCGUGCGCAGGCGGUUAUGUAAGACAGUUGUGAA